CCGCCCGUCACACCAUGGGAGUUGAUUGCUCCAGAAGUCCCCGCUGAGCGAACCGCAAGGAAGCAGGGUCCCAAGGAGUGGUCGAUGACGUGGGGUG
rnacentral:rRNA from 1 species